rnacentral:piRNA from 1 species
UAGGGCUGCAAUUUGUUUUACGC